AUUGAACGCUGGCGGCAGGCCUAACACAUGCAAGAAGAACGAGUGGCGGACGGGUGAGUAAUGUCUGGGAAACUGCCUGAUGGAGGGGGAUAACUACUGGAAACGGUAGCUAAUACCGCAUACCAUCAGAUGUGCCCAGAAGGGAUUAGCUAGUUGGUGGGGUAAAGGCUCACCAAGGCGACGAUCCGUAGCUGGUCUGAUAGGAUGACCAGCCACACAGGAAAUAGGACAAGGUCCAGAACCCUACGGGGAGAAGCAGUGGGGAAGAUUGCAAGAUGGGCGAAAGCCAGAUGGAGCCAUGCCGCGUGUAUGAAGAGGGCCUUCAGGUUGUAAAGUACUUUCAGCGUGGAGGCGUUACCCGCAGAAGAAGCACCGGCUAACUCCGUGCCAGCGGCCGCGGUAAUUC
rnacentral:rRNA from 1 species